rnacentral:rRNA from 1 species
UACGGAGGGUGCAAGCGUUGUUCGGAAUCAUUGGGCGUAAAGCGCGUGUAGGCGGUUUGGCAAGUCAGUUGUGAAAGCCCGGGGCCCAACCCCGGAACUGCAUCUGAAACUGCCUAGCUAGAGUCCCGGAGAGGAAGGCAGAAUUCCCGGUGUAGGGGUGAAAUCCGUAGAUAUCGGGAGGAAUACCAGCGGCGAAGGCGGCCUUCUGGACGGUGACUGACGCUGAGACGCGAAAGCGUGGGGAGCAAACAGG